UAGAACGACCUAAUGCAUUUGGUGUCU
rnacentral:piRNA from 1 species